ACGGAAGGCAGCAGUGGGGAAUAUUGGACAAUGGGGGAAACCCUGAUCCAGCGACGCCGCGUGAGUGAAGAAGUAUUUCGGUAUGUAAAGCUCUAUCAGCAAGGAAGAAAAUGACGGUACUUGACUAAGAAGCUCCGGCUAAAUACGUGCCAGCAGCCGCGGUAAUACGAAUGGAGCAAGCGUUAUCCGGAUUUACUGGGUGUAAAGGGAGCGUAGACGGCAAAGCAAGUCUGAAGUGAAAUCCCGGGGCUCAACCCCGGAACUGCUUUGGAAACUGUUUAGCUAGAGUGCAGGAGAGGUAAGCGGAAUUCCUAGUGUAGCGGUGAAAUGCGUAGAUAUUAGGAGGAACACCAGUGGCGAAGGCGGCUUACUGGACUGUAACUGACGUUGAGGCUCGAAAGCGUGGGGAGCAAACAGGAUUAGAUACCCUGGUA
rnacentral:rRNA from 1 species